UUCCGGUUGAUCCUGCCGGAGGCCAUUGCUAUCAGGGUUUGACUAAGCCAUGCGAGUCGAGAGGUGUAAGACCUCGGCAUACUGCUCAGUAACACGUGGUUAACCUGCCCUAAGGUGGAGAAUACUCCCGGGAAACUGGGGCUAAUGCUCCAUAGUGGAUAUGUCCUGGAAUGGUAUAUCCUCGAAAGAUCCGUCGCCUUAGGAUGGGACUGCGUCCGAUUAGGUUGUUGGCGGGGUAACGGCCCACCAAGCCAUUGAUCGGUACGGGUUGUGGGAGCAAGAUCCCGGAGAUGGAUUCUGAGACAUGAAUCCAGGCCCUACGGGGCGCAGCAGGCGCGCAAACUUUACAAUGCGAGCAAUCGUGAUAAGGAAACCCUGAGUGCCUGUCGAUGCAGGCUGUUCAUAUAUCUAAAUCAUAUGUGAAGAAAGGGCAGGGCAAGACCGGUGCCAGCCGCCGCGGUAAUACCGGCUGCUCGAGUGAUGGCCACUAUUACUGGGUUUAAAGCGUCCGUAGCUUGACUGUUAGGUCUCUUGGGAAAUCUUCACGCUCAACGUGAAGGCGUCUAAGAGAUACCGGCAGUCUUGGAACUGGGAGAGGUAAACCGUACUUCGGGGGUAGGAGUGAAAUCUUGUAAUCCUCGAGGGACGACCUAUGGCGAAGGCAGUUUACCAGAACAGCUUCGACAGUGAGGGACGAAAGCUGGGGGAGCAAACGGGAUUAGAUACCCCGGUAGUCCCAGCCGUAAACAAUGUGCGUUAGGUGUGUCGGUAACCACGUGUUACUGAUGCGCCGAAGAGAAAUCGUGAAACGCACCACCUGGGAAGUACGGUCGCAAGGCUGAAACUUAAAGGAAUUGGCGGGGGAGCACCACAACAGGUGGAGCCUGCGGUUUAAUUGGAGUCAACGCCGGG
rnacentral:rRNA from 1 species